rnacentral:rRNA from 1 species
UACGUAGGGGCUAGCGUUGUCCGGAAUCAUUGGGCGUAAAGCGCGUGUAGGCGGUCCGGUAAGUCCGCUGUGAAAGUCGGGGUCAACCUCGGAUGCCGGUGGAUACUGUCGGGCUUGAGUACGGAAGAGGCGAGUGGAAUUCCCGGUGUAGUGGUGAUAUGCGUAGAUAUCGGGAGGAACACCUGUGGCGAAGGCGGCUUCUGG